UAGGGAAUCUUCCACAAUGGGCGAAAGCCUGAUGGGAGCAACGCCGCGUGUGUGAUGAAGGGUUUCGGCUCGUAAAACACUGUUGUAAGAGAAGAAUGACAUUGAGAGUAACUGUUCAAUGUGUGACGGUAUCUUACCAGAAAGGAACGGCUAAAUACGUGCCAA
rnacentral:rRNA from 1 species